UAUAAAUAUAAUCAUGCCUAAUGCCUUGAUUUAAAGCAAAACUUACUUUCAGUAGGAAGAUGCUAGUAGUUCUAAUGUUACGCUAUUGUACUGGUACCCAGGCUACUUAAAGCUCAGCUGAGCUCACUGACUUUGAAGCAAUUCUAUGUUUCUUAGUAUUCCUUUCUGUGGAGUGUGCAAAUGUAGCAGUUGAAAGACAAACAGGUACACUUCAGCUCUGAAGGGAUGAGAUCACGCAGCUGCUUUCCCGUUCUUCUGCAGUACGAAGUAGGUGUGCAAAGAUUGCAAAGGACAGAAUCUAUUUUUUUUACCUACCCUGCAACCUCUCAAAGCUUUCAGGCAGAAAGUCUGCACUGCUGCCCCAUGCAGUGCCGCUGCCUGCAAUUUAGAGGUUGGCUCGGAGCCCGGGGUAUUGCAGCAGAAUUCUGAGACAGGAACUCAUUUCCUCUCCAGUUGCCUCUAUUCGUAGUUCCCAAAAGCUGGCAGGUAUUCUCACACCAGUCUUCAUGCCUGGCAAAAAAAUAUUGGCAGGCCCCUUCUGUACCCAUCCUUUACUCAGGAGCUACUUGUGAUUCUCAUCGCUGAAACGGGUGAUUAACUACAGAGCUGAAGAAGGAGGUUUCCCUACAGCCAUUGCCUUACAGUGAAACCGUGUGUGUGAUGGGCAUCUUGAGGGCAACACAGACAAACCUCUUCAUACCUCCCAGAGGGAGGAGAGGAGCAGAAGCAUUAAAAUCCCUGCAUAUAUAAGCACAGAGUUUAAUUCAAAAGAAUAUUUGCAAUAUGCAGCCUCUAAGUGAGAGCCAAAACUUCAUUUCUUCUGCUGUAACUAUGUUGACAGAGCCUGGAAAUUUAAUCUCACAUGGAGGGUGAAUUCAUUCAGCUUCAGCUGUCAGUCACUGGAUCUUGUCAUUAAUGUGAUACUGAGGUAGAAAAGCACCCUGAUGUAAUUGCUGUGUUUAAGUGCUGAUACACAAUGAUGAAGUAAUUUCUCAGCCUUUUAAGUACUCCACUGCCAUGAAAGUCAUAUUUAAACACUUCGAGUUCAUUAGCAGUAGGAGUUUAAUAUUCUUAUGUUGCAGUUGUUUUCCUCAUUCCUAUGUGCAUAGCAUUAUGCUAAAAUACAUAUGAUGAUUCGUUAUUUUCCAUCAAACAGUGAAUUUUUAUUUUCCUUCCAUCAGCUUUAGAUAUAAAGUUUAUUACUGAAAAACAAAAAGCCCUUUCCCCUCUUAUUCUGUUUUGGCCCAAAGACAUUCCACAGUAAAAAAAAAAUGUGAAUUGUCUUUAAAACACAGUGUCUUUGCAAUAAAAAGUGUGAAAUGUUUUCUUCA